rnacentral:lncRNA from 1 species
UACUUGUGUAAGUAAGUCCCAUGAUGGUGGAUAUUCUCAUAUAUUUUCAUAUUUCAUACACCAUUCAGUGUAUUAGAAUAUUUGGCAUUCUUCAAUAUGAUUGAUCCCGUAUUCUUUUAUGAGGAAGAAGAGAGUGAAAAAUAGAUGUACGAUACAUAAAAUAGAAAAUAAAUUAGAAAGAGAAACCUCGCUCCGUCCUCACCCUCAGAAAAAAUAUAAUGGACCCAGUUCGACAAGAUAAUUAUCUCCAUUCCAUGGAUACCUCCAAUCAAUAAUAUCUAAGGGAGAGAGAAUAUGAAGCGCUACAAAACCUCUUACAUUCAAACUACCUCAUCGUAUGAAUUGGAAGAGAUAAAAGGAUAUAGAAAUUUAGUGAAAACAAUUCGCGUGAUAAACUUCAGUCAUAAAAUUAAUUAUUUUGAAGACAAGAAAGAUGGUUUGGAUGGCCCUUUUUGGAAAAAUCUGAGUCCAUUUCUAGUUUCUUUGAAUUCAUAUGUGUUUAUGACAUUGGGAUAUCCAUGAUUUUCAGGGACCUUAUCUCUUUAGAAAAGGUUCUUGUGCCUGACUCGGUCGAUGGCAUCUCAUUUAAUGGAAGUAUCUAUCACUGUACAUACAGAUGCCCUUUAACGUUCAAAUUUGCUAAUUCACCAUCCAUUGGUUCAAAUACACAUCCGUCCCUCUAGAUCUUAUAAUUUUAUACUUGUAUAAGAAACGAGGAUUUGUUUAAUCAAAAUCAAUAGUACGGGAAAAAAUGUUGAGUGAGGAACAAAGUG